GAUGGAGGGUCAAUGAGAGCUCGCGGGGUGACGCCAUUCUGCUGGGGUUCUGGAGAGGCCAAAGCUGGAGACGGUCCCGUUUGUGGUCAGCACGGCCUUUUACUUUCUGGCCGUGACUGGCAACUGCACCAACGUCCUCCUCUCCCUCCCACUGCACACUCCCACUUCCUCAGCGACCGGGCCCUUCUCCACCUCCUGCCACAGCACUCGCAGCUUCUCCCAAGUGCUAGUUAACCGCGGGGGCUCAGGCAAAUCCAUGGCCCGCGUGGGUGUGCGGUGCGGCCCUCUGAGGCCUCUGGCUCCUGGUCUGGCCUGGCCGCGCCGGCUCCGGGAGCUGCCAUUCCGCCCUGACGUCGCCGCGUACACGUACCUGGGGCGGUGCAGUCACCGCUGCCUCUGCCAGUUCGUGUGUGGGACGCCGGCCAUCACCGCAUUUCCGCGUGGACGCCGGCAGGGUGGAACGCCUGGCUUUCCCCGGCCACCCCAGCCGCCCUGGCGCCUCUCGCGCGACUUGGCCUCGGCCCCUCGGGGGCAGUGCACUGCUGCGCAUGCGGUCUCAGCGCCCGGCCUUCCCGCGCGGCUGCCGCCCUUUCCACGGUGACGCCGUCUGCACUAGCGCCGCACCCGCUUCAACUGCCUGCAACCGCCGCUGAAUUCCCUCAUCCCCACGCUGAGAGGACGAGAAAGGCGCCCUGGGGAAGGCUCUCGGGAAAGCCCGCAGCCGCUGGACGCGGGAGGACAUGGAGGUAGGCGGGAACACUCACCCCGCGAUUUCGUGUGGUCCGCGAAGCUUUUUCUCUUCAGGACAACACUGCACAAUGGCAUCCAUUAAUAAUACGAUGGGGAACGGGGGCCGCGGCGCUCGCCUGCAGUCCCAGCGCUUUGGCAGGCCAAGGCGGGCAGAUCGCUUGAGCUCAACAGUUCCAGACCAGCCUGGGCAAUACAGCGAGAACCCAUCGCUACCAGAAAUGUAAAAAAUUAGCCGGGCUAGUGGCGCCUGCCUUUAGUCCUAGUUACUUGGGAGGCUGAAGCGGGAGGAUCGCUUGAGACCAGGAGUUUGAGGCUUCAGUGAGCUCUAAUCACACCACUGCACUCCAGCCUGGGCAACUGAGCAAAACCCUAUCUCUAAAAAAAGAAAAAAGCGCCGAGAUUGUGCCACUGCACUCCAGCCUGGACGACAGAGCAAGACUCAGUCUCAAAACAAAAACAAAAACAAACAAACAAACAAACAAAAAGCGGCAGGGAUGUGAAUGUGAAUGGAGCAAGGCGUUCUCUCUUUCAGGGGUCUCAGACUUUGUAUCUUUGCUUGCAGGUGGACUGACUGCCCCAUGUCCUUCAAAGUUAAUUGCAAAAGAGUUCAUUGCAAGAGAUGAUGUGCUGGUGGAAAGAUAGAUGCUGCUACUUCUUUCCUUAGUGGGGUUUUACAGGCAGAUAAUGACUGCUUUGCAGCUCAUUUGUGACUCUGAUUCCACUGAGCGGUAAUGUCAUUAGAUCAGAUACAAGAGUAAGGAGACAGCAUGGCAGAAACGCACGUGUGUGUCUGUGGUGAGUGUUUUCUGGGGUACACUUGUUCCCACAGGCCUUUUUGUUCUGAAUUUUCCAGACCCCUGUGCAGAUGACACUGUUACUUCCUCAGGCUGUUACCUGCCCCCUCAGGCCCUAAGCAGGUAACAUGUAUCUGCCUAAGAGCAGUGUUUCCUUUACAUUUCAGGUUAUAUGUCACUUACAACAUCAAUUUAAGUGCGGCAAACAUUCGUUAUUCUAGGUUAGCAUAAAAUGGAUUAGAAAAUUUCACAGAGGACUAUGCAUGGUAGUGAGUCAGUUGUGUAUAUGUGUGUGUGAAAUGUGUUUCUUACACCGAUAUAAAAGUUUGAAAGUCACUGCUUUAGAGAGUUUCUGUUGGAACAAGCUUCCAAGCAACCCAUAUGUCUGUACUAGAGGAAAAUCUAGGAAUAUCACUUUAAGGAAACAUAGGGUCGUGUAUGGGAAGAUAUGGACUCAAAGAGUUUGUAGAGCAAGGAAAUCACAGCUGCUUAGCAUGGGAGAGUUUGCCAGGAUAAAUGAUGAUGAUAUGUUGACAGUGAUUAUGUUAAUCAUGCUAAUUAUGAUAAAAAUGAAACUUUUUUCAACUCAUGCAUUUUCACCUUUUGACAUUUCUGAAGUAGGAAUAUUUUAAGAUUUAGUGGCAAGUCAUAGUUUUUACUUCAUAUUUUCCUUUAAAAUUUACACUAAAAAAAGGUGCGCUUCUCUGAUUACUGUAAAAAUAAAUGAAAUUACAUCUAUUUCCAUGAACUACUUAGUUCCUGUAAUGGCUAGUUUUGUGUCAACGUGACUAGGCUGUAGUACCCAGAUAUUUGGUUAAACACCAGUCUGAGUGUUGCUGUGAAAGUAUUUUUUUCAGAUGACAUUAACAUUUAGAUUGGUAGACUUUGAGUAAAGUAGAUUACCCUCCAUGAUGUGGAUGGGCCUGAUCCAAUUCAGUUGAAGGCCUUAAGAGAAAACAGACUCAGGUCCUACAAGGAAGGAGGAGUUCUUACAUCUGCUUUCAAGCUACAGCUGUAACAUCAACUUUUCUCAGAGUCUCCAGCCUACCCUGAAGAGUUCUGAUUUGCCAACCCCCAUAUUGAGUUAGCCAGUUUCUUCAGAUAAGUACCCCCACCUCUUCACACACACACACACACACACAUCUUCUGUUGAUUCUGUUUCUCUGGAGACCCCUAAUACAGUUGUACUACAAACUUCCCAGAAGUUAUAUAAAAUAAAGCACAUCUUGAUCAAA
rnacentral:lncRNA from 1 species